rnacentral:lncRNA from 1 species
GUCCACGUAUUCGCCAUGCUUGCACAUCCAUUGGUCUGUAUCGCUUUGACCAUUGCCACGCAGCGUUGACCGGCCACAUCGCUUUAAUGAAACGACGCGUUUCAUUACUUGACGCGCAUCAUUUCAAAUUCAGCUGUGGUUUGAUUCCUGGCCAGUGUAUUUAUUCAAAUGCUUCAUUAUUUUCUCCUUUUCCCUCCUUAUUCCAUAUACCAUGCUUC